rnacentral:rRNA from 1 species
CAGCCGUAAACAAUGUGCGUUAGGUGUGUCGGUAACCACGCGUUACUGAUGCGCCGAAGAGAAAUCGUGAAACGCACCACCUGGGAAGUACGGUCGCAAGGCUGAAACUUAAAGGAAUUGGCGGGGGAGCACCACAACAGGUGGAGCCUGCGGUUUAAUUGGAUUCAACGCCGGACAUCUCACCGGAUAAGUCAGCUGAAUGAUUGUCAAUCUGAAGGUUUUACAUGACUAGCUGAGAGGAGGUGCAUGGCGUCAGUGACU